UACGUAGGGUGCAAGCAUUAAUCGGAUUUAUUGGGCGUAAAGGGCGCGUAGGCAGGAAAGUCAGUCAGAUGUGAAAUCCCGGAGCUCAACUCCGGAACAGCAUUUGAAACUUCUUUUCUAGAGGGUAGGCGGAGAAAACGGAAUUCCACAAGUAGCGGUGAAAUGCGUAGAUAUGUGGAAGAACACCAGUGGCGAAGGCGGUUUUCUAGCUUACACCUGACGCUGAGGCGCGAAAGCAAGGGGAGCAAACAGG
rnacentral:rRNA from 1 species